rnacentral:rRNA from 1 species
UACAGAGGUCCCAAGCGUUGUUCGGAUUCACUGGGCGUAAAGGGUGCGUAGGUGGUCGGGUAAGUCUGAUGUGAAAUCUCCGAGCUUAACUCGGAAACUGCAUCGGAUACUAUUCGGCUCGAGGGUUGGAGGGGGGACUGGAAUGCUUGGUGUAGCAGUGAAAUGCGUAGAUAUCAGGAGGAACACCGGUGGCGAAGGCGGGUCUCUGGGCAACAACUGACGCUGAGGAGCGAAAGCGUGGGGAGCGAACAGG